GGAAGCUGGAUGCUCGGAAACGGGCACGUCCAGAUUUAAAAGAGAGGGGCGAGAGGUAAUACUCUCCCUCGACUCUAC
rfam:Rivularia sp. PCC 7116, complete genome.